UACGGAGGGGGCUAGCGUUGUUCGGAAUUACUGGGCGUAAAGCGCACGUAGGCGGUUCGUUAUGUCGGAUGUGAAAGCCCUUGGCUUAACCGAGGAAGUGCAUCCGAAACUGGCGAGCUAGAGUACGAAAGAGGAUCGCGGAAUUCCCGGUGUAGAGGUGAAAUUCGUAGAUAUCGGGAGGAACACCGGUGGCGAAGGCGGCGAUCUGGGUCGAUACUGACGCUGUAGAGCGAAAGCGUGGGGAGCGAACAGG
rnacentral:rRNA from 1 species